rnacentral:sRNA from 1 species
GGCAGGAUGAGAUUUGGGGCAAGGGCAGUGCCUGUGAGGACCAGGUUGGCGCUGUACGUCUAUGAGUACCUGCUGCACAUCGGUGCCCAGAAGUCAGCCCAGACCUUCCUGUCUGAGAUCCGAUGGGAGAAGAACAUCACGCUGGGGGAGCCCCCCGGGUUCCUGCACUCCUGGUGGUGCGUCUUCUGGGACCUGUACUGCGCGGCACCUGACCGAAGAGAGGCCUGCGAGCACUCCGGCGAGGCCAAGGCCUUCCAGGACUACAGUGCUGCAGCCGCCCCCAGCCCUGUUAUGGGGAGUAUGGCCCCAGGUGAUGCAAUGGCCGCAGGCCCCAUGGCGGCUGGCUUCUUCCAGGGCCCCCCCGGCUCCCAGCAGUCCCCCCACAACCCCAACGCCCCAUGAUGGGGCCUCACGGUCAGCCCUUCAUGUCACCGCGCUUCCCAGGGGCCCCCCGCCCCACCCUGCGGAUGCCAAGUCAGCCUCCCGCAGGCCUCCCUGGCUCCCAGCCCCUCCUCCCUGGCACCAUGGAGCCCUCCCCACGAGCCCAGG